ACACCGCCGUCCCUUCCGCAGGUCGCGGCCCGCGACUUCCUCAGUAAUGGCUCGGCUCGGCUCGGCUCGGUGGGGCGUGUCUCGAGUGUCAGCGCCACGGCGAAGCCCUUAGAAUUUGUAUUUUCAAGAUCUUCUCCAUAUAUAUCUGACCAGAAGAUUUUGUUGUGACCAGAAAAAUAUUGAAGAAACAUUGAAGAAAAAAUAUUGAAGAAAAUAUUGAAGGACCUGAAAUGCUGGAAGACUAUUUUAAUUAUAAAGUAGAAUGGGCCAGUUAAAAAUA